UAGGGAAUAUUGGACAAUGGGCGCAAGCCUGAUCCAGCCAUGCCGCGUGAGUGAAGAAGGCCCUCGGGUUGUAAAGCUCUUUUGUCCGGAAAGAAAAGCAUCGGGCUAAUACCCUGGUGUUCUGACGGUACCGGAAGAAUAAGCACCGGCUAACUUCGUGCCAGCAGCCGCGGUAAUACGAAGGGUGCAAGCGUUACUCGGAAUUACUGGGCGUAAAGCGUGCGUAGGUGGUUUGUUAAGUCUGAUGUGAAAGCCCUGGGCUCAACCUGGGAAUGGCAUUGGAAACUGGCGGACUCGAGUGCGGUAGAGGGGUGUGGAAUUCCCGGUGUAGCAUGAAUGCAGUAGAGAUCGGGAGGAACACCAGUGGCGAAGGCGACACCUGGACCAGCACUGACACUGAGGCACGAAAGCGUGGGGAGCAAACAGGAUUAGAUACCCUGGUAGUCCACGCCCUAAAGCGAUGCGAACUGGAUGUUGGGUGCACUUGGCACUCAGUAUCGAAGCUAACGCGUUAAGUUCGCCGCCUGGGGAGUACGGUCGCAAGACUGAAACUUAAAUGAAUUGACGGGGUCAUAGCUGUUUCCGU
rnacentral:rRNA from 1 species